rnacentral:lncRNA from 1 species
CUGCUCCACGCUGCGGCCGCGGGUCAGUGGCGGUGGUUUGCGGCGGGCGGCGCGACCGGGGAGGCCUCGGGUGGCCGCCUGGGCGCCCGGGAUGUACUGCGCCUUCACCAAGCGGCCCUCGGCCGGGCUGUCGGGGGCGAGGGGCAGCGGGAGGCGCAGCCGGCUCGGGUGCAGCCUCCGACUCCCACGACGACGCCCAGGCGCGGCUCAAGGGGCAGGGCUGGUGGGGUGGCCCCGACGCGCUCCACCGAAGGCUCCCGCGCGGGCCGCGCGCUGCCGGGGGCGGAGACGCGUCGGGCGGCCGCUGACGCACGCUGUUCUGGCGCCGCGGGCCGCCGUCCGCGCCCCCGGGACUGGUCCGGGGCUGGCCCGCCCCCGGCGGCGGCGCCUGCGCAGGAGCGCCGAGAUGUAGCCGUCCAGGGGUCGCCCCGCGCCCCCCGCGUCGGGCGAGUCGGUGGGAGGGCGGCUGCAGGGUCGCGGGCUGCGCAUAGCCACGGCGUGCAGGGGCUGGGCGUCAGAAAGGGCCCGGCGCGGGCCCGCCGCUCCGCCGAGGAGCAGGCCUCCGGGCCGGCGGAUCCCCUGCCGUCGGGUAGGGCGCUGAGAAGGACCGCGGCACUGCUGCCCGCGCGCCCACCAUCUCCGGAGCGCUGGGACUGGCGUCUCCUAGGGAAGGAAGGCCAAAAGAAAAAAAAAAAAGGAAGAGAGUGGAGGGGCUCUCAAAGUCCUUUCCCAUUUCCUAUCCAGCCUGGAAGGGGGGGGUUGCCUCCCUCCCUUCCAUGCCCAUCUCAGCAAAAACCCUGCUCUCACACCUUCCUUCCUGUAAAAUUCAUAAUAAAAUCUUUACAGGGUCCUACAAGACCCUGCGUGACUUGUCCAGACAAUGACUCUGCCUCUCCCACUCUCACAACAUCUUACUCUUUCUUUCUUUCUUUCUUUCUUUCUUUCUUUCUUUCUUUCUUUCUUUCUUUCUUUCUUUCUUUCUUUCUUUCUUUCUUUCUUUCUUUCUCUUUCUUUCUUUUCUUUCUUUUUCUUUCUUUCUCUUUCUUUCUUUCUUUUUUCUUUCUUUCUUUCUUUCUCUUUCUUUCUUUCCUUCCUCCCUCCCUCCCUCCCUCCCUCCCUGCCUCCCUCCCUCCUUCCUUCCUUCCUUCCUUCUCUUUCCUUUCUUUCUUUUUUGACAGGUUCUUGCUUGCUCUUGUCACCCAGGCUGGAGUGCAGUGGCGUGAUCAUAGCUCACUGCAGUCUCCAUCACCUGGGCUCAAGGGAUCCUGCCGCCUUAUCUUCCUGAGCAGCUGGGACUACAAGAACGCACCACCAUGCCCUGCUCAUUUUUGGGGGGAUGGGGUCUCACUGUGUUGCCCAGGCUGGUCUCCAACUCCCAGGCUCAAAUAA